GAACUGCGAUAAGUAGUGUGAAUUGCAGAAUUCAGUGAAUCAUCAAACCCUUGAACGCACAUGGCGCCCUGUGGCAACGCAGGGCACGCCUGUUUGAGCCUCGGUAUUCAACCUCGCACCCACCACCAGGUGUGGUACGGAUCCUGGGGAUUGUGGCAUCACAUUCCCUUAAAUGCAACUGCCUGGCGCAGUGGGACACGGCCAAAGCCGAUUCAAUCAACCAGUUUAUGAUGGCAGCAUGCCUUUCUUGGCUGGUAUUGUAUCGUUCCUUUGCUCCCCAUUGAACAACUAGGCAUAUGUGCUGCAAGGCACCCUUUCAACUUUCGAGCUCAAAUCAGGCGAGAUUACCCGCUGAAUUUAA
rnacentral:misc_RNA from 1 species